rnacentral:lncRNA from 1 species
GUUUUGCAAUAUAACCCAAAAGUUGAGGUUAAUUGCUUUAUGGCCCAAAAGUUGUGGUUAUUGCAUAUUGGCCCAAAUUAGGUAGAGAACAAAAUUGUUUUGUCUCUUUAAAUGAGAAUUGGAUUUUCAUUUUGUUUAGCUCCAUUUAAAUCAAUUUUAUGGAUACAAAAACCAAAUGAAAAAUGUUGCAUUCAAUUUAAUUAGUUAAUGUGUUAAUUAAUUAAAGGGUGAUUAUGAACCUAAGCCUAAUAUAAUUGAGCUAUGUGAAAGGCCGUUUCAAAUUU